CUGGCCCAUGCAGCCCACCGAAGGAAGGUUGCAGAACCUUAUCCAGUGCUCUAAGGCCACUGAACCGGGGAGAUUGAGCGACGUGGGCGAUUCCCCAUCGAUCCAGGCGGCGGGGUGGCCGGAGCAGGGGCGGGCGUGGGCGCUGGAGGCGCGGUGGUUGGCCCGGCCAUGGGCGCGCCGGACGAAGGUGCCGGCGCCGGAGGCGCCGCGGUCAGCACGCCGGACGAAGGCGCUGUCUCCAGGAGCAUGUAGGCCCCCGGUUCGCCGUCUCCCUCGGCGUGGAUGGAGUCCAGCCAGGCGUUCACCGCUUCAAAAUCAGCGGCAGAUCGUCGACUGGAGUCGGCGUCGGCAUCUCCCACGGCUCCACAUCUUCAUCUACAUCCAUCGGGUACCAAACCGGUGGUGGUGGGGGUGCCGCAAGUUCGCCGUAGAUGAUGCCGUCCGAGUAUGGCGCCGCCACAUUGGGGGCCAUAGCCCCUGCAGGAGCGAGUCCCCGUGCGUGGAUUCGAGGGCGGCGUCCAAGGCGGCGGCGGCCGAAGCGGCGGCGGCCAAAACGGCGACGCCCGAAGUGGCGGCGCCCAAAACGGUAGUGACGGCUUCCAGAGAUCCAAACGUGGGCGUUAAUGGCGAAGAUGAUUGGCAGUGAGAAACGCAAAGAGUCAGGGGCAGCGAACGGGCCAGGAACAGACGCUUGGCAGGACAGGCGGCGAGUCGAUUGCAGGCGGGGAGCGGCGCAGGAGACAGGGCGCCCAACGGGCGGUAACAUGCACGCGGAGGGCAGCGGCGCGAGUCGUUCACAGGGGCAGGGCGAGCGAAAUCCCGCGGACAUGGGAAUCGGGAAAAAAAAUUCCGCUGCCUGCACAUGCGCAGCAGUUUAAGUUAAUUUCCGGUGACUUGGUGGGCUGGAAACUUGGCCCAGACUCCUUGGCCGUUGGCGAAGCCUGGAACUGGAUGUGUCUAGAACUCGAGAAUGGGACGCGCCUGGGCCGCGAGAACAGGACCUCACGACAUCGCAGGAACGUGCGUGGAAGCAGAAGGAGCCAUGAAAAUAGAUAGUGGGGUUUCCUCUCUUAAAUAUAGAAUAUUAGAAAUUAGAUGAAAGAGUAAAUUUCACAAAACCACACAUAUUGGGGCAGGCUUCUCAUGGAGGCACCACUUUUGCUAAUUUGUCCGAAAAACCACACAAUUUGAGUCACGAUGUACCAACAAGCCCGAAAUGACGUGUUUAGCGCGUUUGACGGUAUUCCUUACAGGUCGGGCCGACAUGUUAGAUGACACGUCGGACGAAUCCGACCUGACCCGUUAGCCCGGUAAGUUUGGUUCCUCUUCGUCGGCAGCGGCUUCUGACUGGAUGGCCGGCUAGGCGUUCAACGUCGUCUUCAAUGCCUCUGGCCGUGCUCUUCCUCAACCUCCACAGAGAAGAAGGUGGCCGCGACCGGCGGCCGGCUGGAGGCCAAGUACGGCAAGGACACGGCAACGGAGGAGCUGCCACCACGCCCUAGGCCUUCUGGCGCCGCUGGACUCGCGCGUUCUGGAUCUAGGUUGGCCGGACCUCGUGCCGCCGGUCUCGCAUGCCCGGAAGAUGAGCACCAUUGGGGACUGGGCUGGGGCACGAUUGGGAUGGGUGAAUGGAUAAUUCGGGACACAGUGGUUGACCCACGAGACCCAGGCGGAGGUGGGGGAGGUGGAGAGAGCGACGGCGGCCUCGGCCCUGGCGGCGCGGUCGAUUCCUUGCCCUUCUGGUAGAUUUGUUCGUCUGGGAGACGCAUAGAGACACGGCGGAGCUCGGGGGCAAGGUUGAGCGGCUCAAGGAGACAGGGAGGGCCUUAGCCGCGGCGGCGCGCGCGAGCACGCACUGGACGCGUAGGUCCCCUAUAGUAGCGCCGCCAGCACGUGUGUGCCCACUCCUCGUCGCUUUCCCGUGGGCUCCUCAUUUGCUGGUGCUUGCGUAGGCGGCUGGCUGGUGGCGGAAUGUUGAGGUGCCGCCGGACGACCACGAGAGGAGGUGGUCAAGGCAGGCGGAGAUGUAGACGCCACCAUUGCCAAAGCGGAGGACGUCCAAAGAGUUGGUAUGGGCCCUGUGCGUCGUGGAGGGAGGAGCCGAUGCCUCACCGCAGUGCAGAGCUGAGACAGUGCCGGAGAGGGGAACGAAGCCGGCGAAGUUCUCCGUGACGCCGUUGAGGUACAGAUCACCCUGUCUGUAUCAAGGUCCAAGUCAGCCGGAAAAACAACCGUUUAUGAUACCCUUAGAUAGCUACCGGGCUAUCGGGUCGGGUUCCGCCGACGUGUCACCGACAGGUGGGUCCGACCUGUAAGGAAUACUGUCAAAUGCGCUAAACACAUCAUUUCGGGUUUGUUGGUACAUCGUGACUCAAAAUGAGUGGUUUUUGGGGCAAAUUAACAAAAAUGGUGCCUCCGUGAGGAACCUGUCCCAACAUGUGUGGUUUUAUGAAAUUUACUCUAGAUGAAAUGCUGAUGUGGAUAGGCUGCAUGUGCAGCUUGCUAAAUUAACUACAAUUAGUAGACAUUUUAUAGAAUUUAUAGAUUUGUUCUUUUCCUA